CGCCUGUUUAUCAAAAACAUCGCCUCUUGUUCAAUUAUAGGAGGUCCAGCCUGCCCAGUGACUUUGUUCAACGGCCGCGGUAUCCUAACCGUGCGAAGGUAGCGUAAUCACUUGUUCUUUAAAUGAGGACUAGUAUGAAUGGCCCCACGAGGGCUGCACUGUCUCCUUUUUCUAAUCAAUGAAACUAAUCUCCCCGUGAAGAAGCGGGAAUUAUACUAUAAGACGAGAAGACCCUAUGGAGCUUUAAACAAUUGAAACAUUUGCUUUUCUCCUAGCUCCUCCCGAGCUCUUUAUUUUAUUUAAGCAUUAUUAUUUCUAGUUUUAGGUUGGGGUGACCACGGAGCAAAACUAAACCUCCAUGAAGAAAUGAAUAUUUUUAAGCCACAAACUACUUUUUUAAGCAUCAACAAAUUGACCUUCAUUGACCCAAUAUAUUGAUCAACGAACCAAGUUACCCUAGGGAUAACAGCGCAAUCUACUUCAAGAGCUCAUAUCGACAAGUAGGUUUACGACCUCGAUGUUGGAUCAGGGUAUCCUAGUGGUGCAGCCGCUACUAAUGGUUCGUUUGUUCAACGAUUAAAACCCU
rnacentral:rRNA from 1 species